UCUCCGCUGCGCACGGUGAGCGCCCGGUAGCCUACCUAUCAUACCCAUGGCGGAGAGGGGUCUGCUCGCUCGUGUCUGUUGGAGUUUGGAGGGGUGCUGGUCGUUUGAGAACACGUGACCUAAUCUGAUCAUACGAUUGUGUCUAGGAUUUGGAAGAAGGGGUUUUCUGGCUACAUCGUGCGCUCAAGGCUCGAAGGUUUUACGCUCAUAGCCUAUAUGUUUUUUCCCUCCACUCUCUCUCUAGCUCGCUUGUGCCACCGCUCCGCCUACCCUUUUCGCAACAUUGACGCAACCUAUAAAUACUGGAACAAAAGAACAACUUCCUUGACUCCUGCUGAAAUUGCACUUAAUCGGGACACGGAUCCCUGUUGUCAAGUGAAAGGAAAUAUUGAGACGGGGGUUUAUCUGGCAGCGAUUUGAGCUGUGUCAUCCCACUCGAACACUGGUCUCCGAGGCGCAUAAUGGGUUGAGAGUCCUGGAGUUCCUUUCAGACACUGAUAGGCCAUCUGGAUGCUGCUUUCGGGUGAUUCCUCACAACUUGAGAAAUUAUUAUUAUUUUAAUUUCCACAAUGUAAUCCAUAUAAUGUUCCUUUGGAGGAAGUAUUGUUGGCAUAUAUUUGAAAGUUUGUAUCUAAAAGCAUAUUUGAGAAAUAAUCGAUCCGUGUUUGCCUACCCAGACACCAUAACUGUUGCUCUAUAUGGGGCACAAACAUAAUCUUCAAGUUAUUUAAAACCUCAUUGUGUGCUCUAAAAUGAGAAACAUUUACAUAAUUAAAUCUAUUAGGAUUUUGAAAAGUAUGAAAAUUCUAAAUUUCUCAUUGUGUUUUAUGGACUGUUUUACUGACACAGAAGGAAAGAGUGGGAUCUCUGGGACUUUUUUUUGUUAGUUAUGACCAAAUCUAUGUGGGGUAUGUAGAACUUCAUUCUCCUAUUGCCAGUACAUUGUACUGUACUGGACGCUACUCUGCUGUUCUGUACUGGCAAUAGAAAGAAUGGAGUUCUACAUACCCCACAUAUAUUUGGUCAUAACUAACAAAAAAAAAUCCCAGAGAUCCCACUCUGUAACCGUCUGUCAGUAAAAUAUGAGAAAUUGAAGUCUCUAUAUUUGUGAUACUUUUCAAAAUAUGAAAUGUACAUUGAAAUCUUGCAUAAUGAAAUGUUUUACUCAUUUUAGUGGAAACAAUAAGGUUUCAAAUGACAAGAUGCAGUUUGUACCCCAUAUAGAUCAACAGUUAUGGUAUCUUGGUAUCUCCUGGGUAGGGCUGAAAUGUAAAAUAUGUUAACUUGAAAUAAUUAUUUCUCAAAUAUGCUUUUAGAUACAAAUUUCAAAUAUGUCAACAAUACUUCAUCCAAAGGACCAUUUUAUGGAUAAAAUUGUGACAAUCCCCCCCAAAAUCCCUUUUGUUCUAGUUUCAUGUGGAAUUACUGUUUCUUUCUCCGAAGUGUGAGGGGGAGAGAGUGAGCCAGAGGAUGAGGGUAUGCAGGAGAGGGAGUUGGAGAGGAUGUGUGUGUGUAUGCAGGGAGUGAGAGGUGUGUGUGUGUGUGUGUGUGUGUAAGGGAGAGAAUCAGAUGAUGAGAGAUGGAGCUGGUUGUGGUGGUGCUGUAGCAGCACAGAAUGGUUUGUGGGUUACACAGAGAUGCAGGCCGUACUGUGCUGCCGCAGUAACGCCUGGACAGACAGCAUCUGUGGAACUACCCGGAAGAGUGUGUGUGGGAGAGUGUGUGUGUGGGAUCCGACUGCCUCAUCACUGGCUGCCUUGCUGUAGCAGCACGUAAAUAUUGGAGUUAAAACUACUGCUGAAGCCUCCAGUAUUGAACGUGCUGCUGAAGCAAAGCUGACCGCUUACCACCGUUAACUUACGGCGAGUCUGCAUGCAUCAGUCCCUCUACUGCGCAUCGCAGGAGAACGGUGCACAGGAGAAGACACCGAAUGGAGAGGGACGCUGUGUGUCGUCAUCUUUAUGACGGGUACAUAAUUAUUAGGUUAAGCAGUUGUUUCUGUCCAUUUAACUUUUUUUACAUGUAUGUUGUAUUUUAUAGUUCAUUUUUGGGGGGUUAUGUUCAUAUAUUUGUAUAUACAUUAACAUUUUCUUUGCACAUUAAAUCAUGCAAACAAGGAAUAAUUUAGACUGGCCCAUGUUUUGUUUUUUUUGUAUUGAAAGGCAUUUGUAUUGCAUUCUCUAAUAAAUGUUUUUGAAAUGAU